UACAGAGGGGGCUAGCGUUAUUCGGAAUUAUUGGGCGUAAAGGGCGCGUAGGCGGCCUUCUAAGUCGAACGUGAAAUCCCCGGGCUCAACCCGGGAACUGCGUCCGAUACUGGAAGGCUUGAAUCCGGGAGAGGGAUGUGGAAUUCCAGGUGUAGCGGUGAAAUGCGUAGAUAUCUGGAGGAACACCGGUGGCGAAGGCGACAUCCUGGACCGGUAUUGACGCUGAGGCGCGAAAGCCAGGGGAGCAAACGGG
rnacentral:rRNA from 1 species